ensembl:misc_RNA Metazoa_SRP Metazoan signal recognition particle RNA
GCCGGGCAUGGUGGCGGGUGCCUGUAAUCCCAGCUACUUGGGAGGCUGAGGCAGAAGAAUUGCUUGAACCCAGGGGCAGAGGUUGCAGUGAGCCAAGAUUGUGCCACUGCACUCCAGCUUGGGUGACAAAGUGAGACUCUGUCUCAA